UCUAUCCACAAGUUGGCACCCCUUUUGAUCUCAUCCAUUUGGAGUGUCCCAUCUAAUCUCUCUCGAAUAUUUCAUGUAGAAAAAUGGGGCACCAAUAGUUGGCACCCCCAUCCCAAUUCUUACAUGAUGGAAGGCUUCAGGGACUCCAACUCUUGUUGUCCUAAUGAGCUUGCUUAGAUUUGGUUAGACCCUACCUAAUAGGAAAUCAAAAUUAAGUAGGAGAGAAUGGGUUUAACCAUGUGCUAGC
rnacentral:lncRNA from 1 species